CAUUAGCAUGACACAAAAACUGGUAUGAGUGGGAGCCGGCUGAGUAUAAGCGAUGUCUGUUAAUAUCAUCCAACAGUUUACUUGUAAUAAUAAUGAAAGCCGGGGAGAGCUGUGUGUUUUGUGGGAAAUGUUUGUUUUCUUUUACAAUAUUUUCAUGAGUGCAAAAAGAAAUUGAGGUAUAAUGGAAAACUUCUGAAAGCAAAUGUGUGGCAAUAGCUCCUAUCUGUCCUUGAACUGAUUCUACCCAUUUUAUCAUGUCAUUGGAGCAUGCAGUACCAGUCUACACCAGAUUUGUUUGUUUUGGCACUCCGCAGACCCCAGGGUACCUGCCCUAUUGUCUGUGUACAUUCUAAGACGAGCAUGCACACUGGAAAAUUUUCUUCUCUUUAUAAUUCUUAGUUUUCCUCAAAACAAGUUUAAUCAUUGAUGGGUUGUUGCUCCAUCCAAAGAGGCCCUUCUGAGUCAACAGACAGUCUCUUUGAAAUAAACAGAACCUUUGCCAUUGGCUGCUGACUGUUUGUGGACUAUCUGCUCUGUGUUUAAGAGCAUGUGAAGAAUGAGCCAGCAGCUGUGACUGUAAAUGGAUGGAAAUAACUCCACUAAACAUAAGUUGCAUAUGUCUGUAAUAUUCAGAGCUCUUAUAAAUGGACUGUGUCAUUAUGGCUGGCAUGCAAUAAUGCAACAGAGGCACACCUUGGUGUCAUAAGUGACAUAACAGGCCGCAUAUUCACCAGAGCUUUGGAUCCCUGCACAGCUGACCAGCAACAAAGUCCACAGUCCUUGAAAUGUCUUAUCACCAUGUGAAAGGGUUGGCCCAUUCCUGCUGCUCUCCUGAAGCGAAGAUAGCGUAAAAGAUGACCCCUGAGUAAUGCACCAUGGCUGCAAUAACAAAGACAUUCUGCCACUCCAGACGAGUCUGUAGGGAGAUGAAGAGAGUCAAUGAAUUUUCUGUCAGAGGAAGAAUUACUGAUAUUUCAAUGAUGCACCACUGAGCAGACACAACAAGGGGACCGGAUCUGCGAAACAAAAAAGUGAGCUCUCUCACGUCCAUUUGCUGGCCGAUUGUGUGACACGUGUAGCACAAAUAGAAUCCGCAGACAAUUUUCACAAGAAAAA